GACGGAGGGUGCAAACGUUGUUCGGAAUCACUGGGCAUAAAGAGCACGUAGGCUGCGCGCUAAGUCAGGUGUGAAAUCCCCCGGCUCAACCGGGGAACUGCACCUGAUACUGGCGUGCUCGAGGACGGUAGGGGUGAGUGGAACUCCAGGUGGAGCGGUGAAAUGCGUAGAUAUCGUUUGGAACGCCGAUGGUGAAAACAGGUCGCUGGGGUUGUGCUGACGCUGAGACACGAAAGCCAGGGGAGCGAACGGG
rnacentral:rRNA from 1 species